rnacentral:rRNA from 1 species
CGCAGCCGCGGUAAUUCCAGCUCCAAUAGCGUAUAUCAAAGUUGUUGCAGUUAAAAAGCUCGUAGUUGAAUUUCGGGGUCAGUAGGUUGGUCGUGCCACUGGUAUGCACUGGUCUCACUGAUUCCUCCUUCCUGAUGAACCGUAAUGCCAUUAAUUUGGUGUUGCGGGGAAUCUGGACUGUUACUUUGAAAAAAUUAGAGUGUUUAAAGCAGGCUAACGCUUGAAUACAUUAGCAUGGAAUAAUGAAAUAGGACGUUCGAUCUUAUUUUGUUGGUUUCUAAGAUUGACGUAAUGAUUAAUAGGGAUAGUUGGGGGCAUUAGUAUUCAAUUGUCAGAGGUGAAAUUCUUGGAUUUAUUGAAGACUAACUACUGCGAAAGCAUUUGCCAAGGAUGUUUUCAUUAAUCAAGAACGAAAGUUAGGGGAUCGAAGACGAUCAGAUACCGUCGUAGUCUUAACCAUAAACUAUGCCGACUAGGGAUCGGAUGAUGUUAAUUUUUUAAUGACUCAUUCGGCGCCG